rnacentral:lncRNA from 1 species
CUUUGGCCUCAUUGAGGAACAGCUGGAAUGCCAAGUGAGCAUUGCAUCUACUUGACCAAGGUUGAUGCUGUUCCUUCACACCGUGAAGUGCCUUCAGAGGAUUUGCAGAGUCACCACUUUCCUUUGCCUUUUCUUCCUUGUGACUAAUUGUUGAACUAGAGCACCUAGGGCCAAGGGUCCAGGAGCUGCGUGGACCCAGGCAGAGCCAUGCUACUGUCUAAGAGCUGGAGCUACAGAGCUUGAAAUUACCACUGAAAACACUGAAAUGUUGGGCCCUUCACUGCUUCCUCAUAAGGAUACCAGAGGCAACCUGGCAUAUUAAGCUUGACACUUGGCAGAUCACUGUGUAAAUUGUUUUUCAGGAAUACAAGUUGGGACACUUCUGUUCAUUUGACCUUUGAGUUGACCCUUAAAUUUUAUUAUUGUUUUUUUUCCCCUCAGUCUUCAGCUCACUGCUUCACUUCUAGUUCCACCCACUUACCAAAUAUGAUUGACUCAUGCAGGUGAAUUAAACCAUUAUUGCACACUUUUUCCCUCUCCUCUCUCUCAGUAUUACUCUUAACUUGAAUAUUUUAACCUGAACAAUUUAAAUAGGCUUGACAUUCCCAUGCUGCUUUCAAGCCUUUUUUUUUUUUUUUUUGAGACAGAGUUUCACUCUUGUUCCCUGGCUGGAGUGCAAUGGCACAGUCUCGGCUCACUGCAACCUCCACCUCCCGGGUUCAAGUGAUCCUCUUGCCUCAGCCUCCCAAGUAGCUGGGAUUACAGGCUCCUGCCACCAUGCCCAGCUAAUUUUUUUUUUUUUUUUUUUUUUUUGUAUUUUUAGUAGAGACGGAGUUUUACCUUGUUGGCCAGGCUAGUCUCGAACUCGUGACCUCAGGUGAUCCGUCUGCCUCAGCAUCCCAAAGUGCUGGGAUUACAGGCGUUAGCCACCAUGCAGCCCCUUUCAAGCCUUUUAACAUCAUGUCACCUUCACAAUGAGCAGUUGCUCCCAUUACCCAGUGAACUCACCUUCUGAUGGGACAGUUACCCUAGUUGGGGCUUCUCAGCCUUGAGAGAUGUGCAGAGCAGGGACCUGUCCAGGGCAGAGCAGCCAGACAGCGUGGAAAUAAUCCAAACAGAGAAAGCAUUCAAGAACUUGGCCUCUGGUUGACUUAACACACUACUUCAAGUAUAUGGCAGGUCUGUAUAAUAAACUCCUGCCUGUCUAGUCUUCAGCCUCAUAGAAAGCAAGAAAGCAGGUGGCGUAUGUUGCAGAACAAUUCUUGGGUAGAACAAGGGGACAUUUGAUGGUUUGGGUUUUUCAGUAAGAAAGAUGAAGUCCUGGAGUAUAGGGUAGAGUGGUACAGUGGAAAAUAUUUCAGCUUGGGGGUUAGAAAAUAAACAUGCCGAUUCUUGCUUUGCCAUAAAUGAUGUCACCUAACUUGUGUGACCCUGUUUUCUCAUCCCUAAAAUGAUUUGAUAAGUUUAAGAUUAGGCUAUUUUUAAAUGUAUGGAAGAAAUUGGGUGUUACCCUUCUUGAAAGACAUUUUCCCUGCAAGUAUGGCAGGCUGUAUCUUUCAGUGUAACAAAGUUCUAUUAAAGGUCAUAACUGCUGCCCUGUAACUUUUGCCUUAUUCUAGAAACUUCUACUCCUUGAAUGACAUGUGUUGGUACAUGUUUCUUCUCUUUCAGAUAGAAUGGUUAAUUUUGACUUGUUGCUUCUGCACACGUGUCCUGGAAAUAAAAGUUUCUUCCCACUACUUAUUGCUGAUUUAUUUCAUAGGAAGUCUUAAGGAAAGAGGCAAAAAACGGGCUCAUGGGUCACUUGAAGUUGGAAAAUUCUGUGGAGAUUGACAAAGGAGACUCACUUUUGAGCAUCUGUUCUCAGUGUAACCUUCAAAUCUGUGGAAACAUAACUAGGCACAUUUUAUGAUUAUUUAGAAUGUUAAUAAAUUGCUCUGAGUUUCCUCAAGUCCAUUUUGUAAGAUCAGACCAUAGGUGGGUGUUGUUUCUUUUAAGUGUGUGUACUGUGUCCAAUGUUACAUUUUUAGAAGUGUUCAUGCUUUUUGUAAAGUGAUUCGUUUUAAGCACAUUAAAGGUCGUUUGAGUAUUGUCAUGUAUUUUA